AACGAACGCUGGCGGCAGGCCUAACACAUGCAAGUCGAGCGCCCCGCAAGGGGAGCGGCGGACGGGUGAGUAACGCGUGGGAACGUGCCCCUUUCUACGGAAUAGCCUCGGGAAACUGGGAGUAAUACCGUAUAAGCCCUACGGGGGAAAGAUUUAUCGGGAAGGGAUCGGCCCGCGUUGGAUUAGGUAGUUGGUGGGGUAAUGGCCUACCAAGCCGACGAUCCAUAGCUGGUUUGAGAGGAUGAUCAGCCACACUGGGACUGAGACACGGCCCAGACUCCUACGGGAGGCAGCAGUGGGGAAUCUUAGACAAUGGGCGCAAGCCUGAUCUAGCCAUGCCGCGUGAGCGAUGAAGGCCUUAGGGUUGUAAAGCUCUUUCAGUGGGGAAGAUAAUGACUGUACCCACAGAAGAAGCCCCGGCUAACUCCGUGCCAGCAGCCGCGGUAAAGUCUGUACU
rnacentral:rRNA from 1 species